rnacentral:lncRNA from 12 species
AAAGUUAUGGAAUGCUAAAGUGGUAAGGCCAAAAAAAACAAAAAUGUUUUAAGAACUGCAUUUAUCCAAAAUAAAGGAGGUAUCAUGUAAACACAGUGAUUGUGUAGUGCAGGAUAUAAAGGAUUUAAGUUAAUCUGGGAGUAUUUACCCAUGUAUGAGGUAAAACAAAACCAAAACCAAAAAAAUAAAUAAAAAUAAGAUAGUAUUUUUGUAACUGAGCUGAGCAACUUUUAUAAAUAAACAAGAAAACUUUAAUCGUAAUCCUGUAUAAUAUUUACAUUUGUAGAUUAAGUGAUGAAUUGUAUUAAUGUUGAUCAUAUUAAUUUUAGUAAAUAUCCUGAAACAUAUGCAAUACAUUUCACAUAGUGUAGGCCAGGCAGGAAGUCCACUUUGGUGUUUGGUGACGCAGCUCUGCCACCUUGAGGUCAUAAUAGUGACAUUGCAACUACAAUUUUGGUGAGACGUGCUCACUGUGCGCACAGUACACACUUUGAAAAUGGUGCUUUUAAUAUGGAAGACAGAGGGCCUUUUAAAAUAUUGAAAUUGCAUGUUUAUUACGUUUCUAUGCCUUAUGAGAUUUCUACCAUCUGAGCAGUGACGGAGCUGAAGACAGACACAUAAUUCGUGCUUGAAAGCGACAGACGGGUGAGCGCUUUUACCUGAGUGACGAGAUGGACGGUCAGCUGAUCACUGUUUGACAGUAGAUUGAAUUGGUCAUAGAAUGGAGGUUCCUGCAGUAAACCAGAGCUAUACAUGUCCACCACCGCAGCCAUGGGCCGGACAGAGCCCCAGGACCCCAACCAUGCCUCCACCCAGCUGUCCAUCCUUAUCACUACCCAAACCUGAACCCAGAUUAGCAGAGUGUGACCCCGAUGACCCACACGUCAGGAACCUCAGCAGGUCAUCGGCCCCAUUCACUGUAUUGGGAUCCCUCACAGCAAAACUUCCAGGACAAGUCCAGUGUCAAAUUCCAAGACAGAGUCUCGGUACGGCCUGGAUCCUCAGCUUCUACCCAGUGUGGCCCGAAGAAACUGUCCGAUCAGAGCUUGGAACUUCCUGUGGUGGAGGGCCUUCUGGUGCCACUGGAAAGACUGCAGACACAUACUUGAAAGAGUUCUACAGGAAAUUUCACUUUUCAACCCUGAAUCGGAAGAUAGAUCCAGCUCACAAGAACUUCCUGUUUCUGCAGGACUGA